rnacentral:rRNA from 1 species
UACGAAGGGGGCUAGCGUUGCUCGGAAUCACUGGGCGUAAAGGGUGCGUAGGCGGGUCUUUAAGUCAGGGGUGAAAUCCUGGAGCUCAACUCCAGAACUGCCUUUGAUACUGAGGACCUUGAGUUCGGGAGAGGUGAGUGGAACUGCGAGUGUAGAGGUGAAAUUCGUAGAUAUUCGCAAGAACACCAGUGGCGAAGGCGGCUCACUGGCCCGACACUGACACUGAGGAGCGAAAGCCAGGGGAGCAAACGGG